GAGUUUGAUCCUGGCUCAGGAUGAACGCUAGCUACAGGCUUAACACAUGCAAGUCGAGGGGCAUCAGGAAGAAAGCUUGCUUUCUUUGCUGGCGACCGGCGCACGGGUGAGUAACACGUAUCCAACCUGCCCUUUACUCGGGGAUAGCCUUUCGAAAGAAAGAUUAAUACCCGAUAGCAUAAUGAUUCCGCAUGGUUUCAUUAUUAAAGGAUUCCGGUAAAGGAUGGGGAUGCGUUCCAUUAGGUUGUUGGUGAGGUAACGGCUCACCAAGCCUUCGAUGGAUAGGGGUUCUGAGAGGAAGGUCCCCCACAUUGGAACUGAGACACGGUCCAAACUCCUACGGGAGGCAGCAGUGAGGAAUAUUGGUCAAUGGGCGCUAGCCUGAACCAGCCAAGUAGCGUGAAGGAUGAAGGCUCUAUGGGUCGUAAACUUCUUUUAUAUAAGAAUAAAGUGCAGUAUGUAUACUGUUUUGUAUGUAUUAUAUGAAUAAGGAUCGGCUAACUCCGUGCCAGCAGCCGCGGUAAUACGGAGGAUCCGAGCGUUAUCCGGAUUUAUUGGGUUUAAAGGGAGCGUAGGUGGACUGGUAAGUCAGUUGUGAAAGUUUGCGGCUCAACCGUAAAAUUGCAGUUGAUACUGUCAGUCUUGAGUACAGUAGAGGUGGGCGGAAUUCGUGGUGUAGCGGUGAAAUGCUUAGAUAUCACGAAGAACUCCGAUUGCGAAGGCAGCUCACUGGACUGCAACUGACACUGAUGCUCGAAAGUGUGGGUAUCAAACAGGAUUAGAUACCCUGGUAGUCCACACAGUAAACGAUGAAUACUCGCUGUUUGCGAUAUACAGUAAGCGGCCAAGCGAAAGCAUUAAGUAUUCCACCUGGGGAGUACGCCGGCAACGGUGAAACUCAAAGGAAUUGACGGGGGCCCGCACAAGCGGAGGAACAUGUGGUUUAAUUCGAUGAUACGCGAGGAACCUUACCCGGGCUUAAAUUGCAGUGGAAUGAUGUGGAAACAUGUCAGUGAGCAAUCACCGCUGUGAAGGUGCUGCAUGGUUGUCGUCAGCUCGUGCCGUGAGGUGUCGGCUUAAGUGCCAUAACGAGCGCAACCCUUAUCUUCAGUUACUAACAGGUCAUGCUGAGGACUCUGGAGAGACUGCCGUCGUAAGAUGUGAGGAAGGUGGGGAUGACGUCAAAUCAGCACGGCCCUUACGUCCGGGGCUACACACGUGUUACAAUGGGGGGUACAGAAGGCAGCUAGCGGGUGACCGUAUGCUAAUCCCAAAAUCCUCUCUCAGUUCGGAUCGAAGUCUGCAACCCGACUUCGUGAAGCUGGAUUCGCUAGUAAUCGCGCAUCAGCCACGGCGCGGUGAAUACGUUCCCGGGCCUUGUACACACCGCCCGUCAAGCCAUGGGAGCCGGGGGUACCUGAAGUACGUAACCGCAAGGAUCGUCCUAGGGUAAAACUGGUGACUGGGGCUAAGUCGUAACAAGGUAGCCGUACCGGAAGGUGCGGCUGGAACCCC
rnacentral:rRNA from 1 species